UUUUCUUUUCUUUUUCUUCUAUUCUUCUCCUUCCUUCUUAUUUAUUUAUUUUUAUUUUAUUUCAUUGAAAUAUAUUUAGUUAUUAUCUUAUUUAUUUAUUUAUUUCUUUAUUCAUUCAUUCAUAGAUAUAAUUAUUUAUUUAUUUAUUUAUUUAUUUCUUUUUUUUCUUUUCUUUCCUUUUCUUUUCUUUUUUUCUUUCCUUUUUCUUCUUUUUUUCUUUUCUUUUUUCUUCUCUUCCUCUCCUCCCUUCUUAUUUAUUUAUUUAUUUAUUAUUUUAUUUCAUUGAGAUAUAUUUAGUUAUUAUCUUAAUUAUUUUUUUUAUUCGUUCAUUCAUAAAUAUAUUUAUUUAUGUAUUUAUUUAUUUAUUUAUUUUUUCUUCUUUUCUCUCUCAUUUUUUCUUUUCUUCUUUUUCUUUCCUUUUUCUUCUUUUUUUCUUCUUUUCUUUUUUCUUUGCUUCUUGUCCUCCGUUUUUCUCCUCCCGCGAGGUCGGUGGUGCCGGAAGGAGGGCAGGCCGCGGCGGCCGUGGGAGGGGGUCGGCCGACCCGGUGCGGUUGGCGAGCCGUGGCGGCCACUAGCGGAGGCCUCCUCCUCCUCUGAAUCAUGCCAC
rnacentral:lncRNA from 1 species